rnacentral:lncRNA from 1 species
AUUAACUGAAAUGUAGACAGCUGUAAAAUAAUGGGUAUGGGAAAAGAUAUUUGGGCCAUGAUAACAGGAUGUGCCUCAAUUUGGAAAUUUCCCUACUCUAAUUUUUUUUUAAUUCUUUUCCCAUUUAGUAUCUCCAUCCUAUAGCUAGCUUUUAUUCAACUAGAACUAUACCUCUUUGCAAGAAUUGUCCUGUUUUGAUGUUGUUGCAAGGUGUUCUGCAUGCUUCAAGACUUCUGAUGAUUUUUUGUUUGGUUGGUUGGUUUUUUGCAUCUUAACUUCCUCAGAAUAUUUUUUUUUUUAAGCAUUGUUGUCCCUGGAGGAACUUCUUCAACAAUUCCUCCUAGCUGAAGGCACUGUCAAAGCAGCAACACGGUGCUACAGCACUCCAGCAGCCAGCCGGGCACUGCCAUUCCCAGGAAAGAACUGAGAAUUUCGCUGUUUCAGCAGAUGCUCCUUACUACUGGAUGCCAGUAAAAAACCCAAGCCCAGAGCACAGGUAAAAUGCCAGCACAUACACAGAAUCAGAGAAUCAUAAGGGUUGGAAAAGACUUCUAAGAUCAUCUAAUCCAACCAUUCAACUACCAUCAACGUUACCCACUAAACUAUGUCCCUUAAUACCACACUUACGUGUUUCUUGAACACCUCCAGGGACAGUGGCUCAAUCACCUCCCUGGGCAGCCCAUUCCAGCACCUGACCACACUUUCAGAGAAGUUUUUCCAAAUAUCAAAUCUGAAUCUCCCCUGGCACAACUUGAGGCCAUUCCCUCUUGUCCUACCACUAGUUACAUCGAAGAAGAAGCUGACCCCCACCUCACCAUAACCUCCUUUGAGGGAGUUGUAGAGGGCAAUUAGUCUUUCCUGAGCCUCCUCUUCUUCAGACCAAACAAUCCCAGCUCCCUCAGCCACUCCUCACAAGACUUGUCCUUCAGAACCUACACAACUUCAUUGCCCUUCUUUGGAUGUGCACCACGGCCUCAAUGUCUUUCUUGUAGUGAAGGGUCUAUAAGUAAAUACAGUAUUUGAG